AGGGACUUAGGAUAAUACCAUUAAACCAAGGGCCUUCAAAGCCCUAAAUAGAAGUGAAAAUCUUCUAGUCCCUG
rnacentral:tRNA from 1 species